UAUUUGAGAAUGCAACACUCCAACUUUGAACUAAACAUGCCUAUGACUCUACAAGUGUUUACUUCCUCUCUUUCUAUCUUGGAGAAACCUCCGAUGCCAAAAUGGUGAGUAAAGCCAUGCUCUAGUACAUGUCAAAAAGACGCUAAUAAGGUUCAGACUAACAUCAGAAUUAAGUUGUCAGUCAUACUUCAGUGGUUCUCUGUAUAUCUGAAGUUGCUAGCUGUUUCUUUUAUAGAACUUAUAAAUUGGAGUGUACUUCCAGCCGGCUAUGCUUAUGGUUGUUUAAUUUGGUCCUAUGUCAAUGUAGUAUCAAAUAAUUUGUUUUCUGUGUUUUUUGAGAGAGCUUUCACCUGAUGGCAACAUCUCAGACUUGAUGGAAACUCCUUUUGACAGAGGUCUCAUGCUUAUCACGUACGGAACCACUCCCAUGUGAUUUAGCUUAAUCUUCUAUGUACGAUACAUUCACCUUCCACUGCAACGAGGUGUGUGAGGUUGGCAUGAUGCUAUGAGAGGUACUAACUAUCUCAGCGGGUUGACCCUAGCCUCCAGUGGCUCUGCCUUCCUCGAGAUGGCAGGCCCAUACGGCACCGGCAGAAAGCCUGCUGCAUCUCAAGCCGGUGCUUGAAAUGGGGGUUCCGAUCCUGUCCACGUCGAGCUCGCCUAGCGCCUGCUCGCCCGCCGCUGAGAUAUAUGAUUUGAUUUCCCGUGGGGAGAAGAAGAGAAGACAGAUAGGUAGAUCUAUGGGAAAAUUUAUGAAUACAUGCAUCUGGUGUGCCAUUAUUUUUUCAGGUAUGGAGCCACUCCCAUGUGAUUUAGCUUAAUAUUCUGCGUAUGAUACCUUCACCUUCCACUGCAACGGGGUGUAUGAGGUUGGCCUGAUGCUAUGAGAGAUACUAACUAUCUCAGCGGUGAGCUCUUUAUGCAAUCCUGAUCUUAUAAGCAGAUGGCUGAAACGAUUAGCUAAAACUGAAAGCGCUGCCGGGAUACUUGAUUGCUGCACUAUCUAAACUGUCUAAUACUAGUUUCAGAUAUGGUUUAACAUGUUUCCUUGGAAUGUCUUUGAUGGAUUUUAGGUGUUUUGGUACCACGAUCUGCUGUUAGAAUUCAUUCAUUGAUUCUGGUUGAUUGGAUUAGACUAAUCCAUGUAUAAUUUUCAGUUGAUUCAAGUAACUAUAUUUACAACUUUACCAAGCUACUGAAACAAGUUC